rnacentral:rRNA from 1 species
AAAUUGAAGAGUUUGAUCAUGGCUCAGAUUGAACGCUGGCGGCAGGCCUAACACAUGCAAGUCGAACGGUAACAGGAAUCAGCUUGCUGAUUCGCUGACGAGUGGCGGACGGGUGAGUAAUGUCUGGGAAACUGCCUGAUGGAGGGGGAUAACUACUGGAAACGGUAGCUAAUACCGCAUAACGUCGCAAGACCAAAGAGGGGGACCUUCGGGCCUCUUGCCAUCGGAUGUGCCCAGAUGGGAUUAGCUAGUAGGUGGGGUAACGGCUCACCUAGGCGACGAUCCCUAGCUGGUCUGAGAGGAUGACCAGCCACACUGGAACUGAGACACGGUCCAGACUCCUACGGGAGGCAGCAGUGGGGAAUAUUGCACAAUGGGCGCAAGCCUGAUGCAGCCAUGCCGCGUGUAUGAAGAAGGCCUUCGGGUUGUAAAGUACUUUCAGCGGGGAGGAAGGGAGUAAAGUUAAUACCUUUACUCAUUGACGUUACCC